UACGUAGGCAGCAAGCGUUGUUCGGAGUUACUGGGCGUAAAGGGCGCGUAGGCGGCCGAGCAAGUUAGAUGUGAAAGUCCUGGGCUUAACCUGGGGACUGCAUUUGAUACUGCUUGGCUUGAAUUCGGGAGAGGAUAGCGGAAUUCCCAGUGUAGAGGUGAAAUUCGUAGAUAUUGGGAAGAACACCGGUGGCGAAGGCGGCUAUCUGGACCGACAUUGACGCUGAGGCGCGAAAGCGUGGGGAGCAAACAGG
rnacentral:rRNA from 1 species